rnacentral:rRNA from 1 species
UGACGGUACCCUACUAGAAAGGAGCCGCUAACUUCGUGCCAGAAGCGUCGGUAAUACGGGGGCUCCAAGCGUUAUCCGGUGUUAUUGGGCGUAAAGAGUCGUGUAGGUGGUUGGGUAAGUUAUCUUUCAAAUAUCUUUGCUUAACAAAGAGGAGGGGGAUAAUACUGCUCGACUAGAAUUUUCUCAAGGGAGAUCGGAACUGAGGGAGGAGUAGUGAAAUGCGUUGAUACCCUCGGGAACACCAGUGGCGUAGGCGGAUCUCUGGGAGAAGAUGGACACUGAGACACGAAAGCUAGGGGAGCGAAGCAGAUUAGAGACCUGCGUAGUCCUAGCCGUAAACGCAUGCUUGCUAGCUGCAUGAAUCUACCUUCGGGUGGUAUCGUGUGGCGAAGGUAACCCGUUAAGCAAGCCGCCUGGAAAGUACGGCCGCAAGGCUGAAAUUCAAAGGAAUUGGCGGGGAGGCACACAACCAGUGGAACAUGUGGUUUAAUUCGAGACUAACCGAAGAACCUCACCAGGGUUUGACAUGUAGCUGCACGUCUUAAGAAAUUAAGACUCUCUUGAAGGUGCUACACAGGUGCUGCAUGGCUGUCGUUAGCUCGUUCCGUGAGGAGUGCCCUUAAGUGGGACAACGAGCGCAACCCCUAUUACAUGUUAGAAAUGUCAUGUAAGACUGCCUUGCCAUUUGGCGGGGAGGAAGGAGGGGCAGACGUCAAGUCCGCAUGGUCCUUAUGCCCUGGGCUACACACAUGUUACAAUGAGUACGGCAAUGAGUCUGUCGCGAGCACGUAAGUGUAAGCUAAUCUCUUAAAUGUACUCUCAGUGGGGAUUGAGGUCUGCAACUCGACCUCAUGAACACGGAAUUGGUAGUAAUCGCGGGUCAGCUAUACCGCGGUGAUACGUUCUUGCCUCUUGCACACACCGCCCGUCAAACCAGCAAAGUCGAUUGUAUCCGAACCU